CGCUGGUGGCGUGCUUAACACAUGCAAGUCGAACGGUGAAGCCCAGCUUGCUGGGUGGAUCAGUGGCGAACGGGUGAGUAACACGUGAGCAACCUGCCCCCUACUUCGGGAUAAGCCUUGGAAACGAGGUCUAAUACCGGAUAUGAGCACUUACCGCAUGGUGGGUGUUGGAAAGUUUUUCGGUGGGGGAUGGGCUCGCGGCCUAUCAGCUUGUUGGUGGGGUAAUGGCCUACCAAGGCGUCGACGGGUAGCCGGCCUGAGAGGGCGACCGGCCACACUGGGACUGAGACACGGCCCAGACUCCUACGGGAGGCAGCAGUGGGGAAUAUUGCACAAUGGGCGAAAGCCUGAUGCAGCGACGCCACGUGAGGGAUGACGGCCUUCGGGUUGUAAACCUCUUUCAGCAGGGAAGAAGCGAAAGUGACGGUACCUGCAGAAGAAGCGCCGGCUAACUACGUGCCAGCAGCCGCGGUAAUACGUAGGGCGCAAGCGUUGUCCGGAAUUAUUGGGCGUAAAGAGCUCGUAGGCGGUCUGUCGCGUCUGGUGUGAAAUCCCAUGGCUCAACUGUGGGCUUGCAUCGGGUACGGGCAGACUAGAGUGCUGUAGGGGAGACUGGAAUUCCUGGUGUAGCGGUGGAAUGCGCAGAUAUCAGGAGGAACACCGAUGGCGAAGGCAGGUCUCUGGGCAGUUACUGACGCUGAGGAGCGAAAGCAUGGGGAGCGAACAGGAUUAGAUACCCUGGUAGUCCAUGCCGUAAACGUUGGGCACUAGGUGUGGGGCGGGUUCCACUCGUUCUGUGCCGCAGCUAACGCAUUAAGUGCCCCGCCUGGGGAGUACGGCCGCAAGGCUAAAACUCAAAGGAAUUGACGGGGGCCCGCACAAGCGGCGGAGCAUGCGGAUUAAUUCGAUGCAACGCGAAGAACCUUACCAAGGCUUGACAUGUACGAGAACGCGUCAGAGA
rnacentral:rRNA from 1 species